GCGGAGGCGCGAAGGAGUUACCUGGGCCCGCGGCGCCCCGCCCUUUCUCCUGCCCGGCACAUGUCUCUGGGGAGCUUCCAUCCCUCUCCUGCUGCUAUUCCCCUGGAACCGGUACUUGGAGCCAAGCUGGAGAAUCCCGUGUAGAAACAUUACAUUCCCACCAGCACGAGCCAAGAAUUGAAAGGGACCCCUAAUCAUUCAAUUCAACGUGGACA